GCCUGACUGGCUCAGUCGGUAGAGUGUGAGACUCAUAUCUCAAGGUCGUGAGUCCAAGCCCCGUGUUGGGUG
rnacentral:tRNA from 1 species